AUAAUGAUACACCCGUAUGACACGGUUUCGCCCAUUAGAAUGGGAAAGGUGCAAGUCCUGUGA
rfam:Coprobacillus sp. 29_1 genomic scaffold supercont1.2, whole genome shotgun sequence.